CAAUUCCAUUUAUUUGCUAUAUUUAUUUGUUCUGAUCAAUCUGAAUUGCUCGUAUGUCUUAUAGUUUGAAUUACUAUAUUUUUUAUUUCCAAUAUGAAUCUCGGUAUCUAUUGAGAGAAUCAAAUCAAUUAAGCAAAAGCGAUAAAUAUAGGCAUAUUCAAAAAAUCACAUAGUAAUCUUUUUUUUAACAUUCCCAAGAAGUAAACCAUUGACAGUAGUUCCACGGGCAUCGAAAAGGAAGAGUAAACCUCACUGAUUUUUAACGCCUGAACCAUGAUAUGAAAUAAGUCGAUAAAGUCUAAAAAAGUCUAAAUCCAAUUUCAAAAAUUCGAAA
rnacentral:lncRNA from 1 species